CCUACGGGAGGCAGCAGUGGGGAAUAUUGGACAAUGGGCGAAAGCCUGAUCCAGCCAUGCCGCGUGUGUGAAGAAGGUCUUCGGAUUGUAAAGCACUUUUAAGUUGGGAGGAAGGGCAUUUACCUAAUACGUAAGUGUUUUGACGUUACCGACAGAAUAAGCACCGGCUAACUCUGUGCCAGCAGCCGCGGUAAUACAGAGGGUGCAAGCGUUAAUCGGAAUUACUGGGCGUAAAGCGCGCGUAGGUGGUUUGUUAAGUUGGAUGUGAAAUCCCCGGGCUCAACCUGGGAACUGCAUUCAAAACUGACAAGCUAGAGGUAUGGUAGAGGGUGGUGGAAUUUCCUGUGUAAGCGGUGAAAUGCGUAGAUAUAGGAAGGAACACCAGUGGCGAAGGCGACCACCUGGGACUGAUACUGACACUGAGGUGCGAAAGCGUGGGGAGCAAACAGGAUUUAGAUACCCUGGUAGUCCACGCCGUAAACGAUGUCAACUAGCCGUUGGGGAGCUCGAGUCUCUUGUGGCGCGAGCUAACGCACUUAAGUUAGUACCGCCGUCGGGGAGGUACGGCCGGACCGAAACGGUUAAAACGUUAAAAGUUAAGUAAGUUAGUACGGCGUGAGACGUGACCGACGACGACGACGAGGGAGGAGG
rnacentral:rRNA from 1 species